GACGAACGCUGGCGGCGUGCUUAACACAUGCAAGUCGAACGGACAGUCUCUGCUUUUGUGGGCUGCUCGAGUGGCUAACGGGUGAGUAACACGUGAGUACCCUUCCCUUGACUUUGGGAUAACUUCAGGUAACUGGGGCUAAUACUGGAUAGUAGCUCCUGCUGCUUGUUGGGGGUUGGAAAUUUUCGGCGGUUGGGGAUGGACUCGCGGCUUAUCAGCCUGUUGGUGGGGUAGUGGCUUACCAAGGCUUUGACGGGUAGCCGGCCUGAGAGGGUGACCGGCCACAUUGGGACUGGGAUACGGCCCAGACUCCUACGGGAGGCAGCAGUGGGGGAUAUUGCACGAUGGGCGGAAGCCGGAAGCAGCAUCUCCGCGUGCGGGAUGACGGCCUUAGGGUUGUAAACCGCUUUCGCCUGUGACGAAGCGUGAGUGACGGUAAUGGGUAAAGAAGCACCGGCUAACUACGUG
rnacentral:rRNA from 1 species